rnacentral:piRNA from 1 species
UGGUCGCUCCUGGGACAGGAUACUG